rnacentral:misc_RNA from 1 species
AAUACAAUGGGUUUUACCAUACACCCAACGCUUAUUGGUUAGGAAGUAGCUUUUUCUCUUUUUCAACAUAAAUAUUUAUAAUAUCAUAUUUCAUUGAUAAAAACUAAGUUACAUAUGGUCCAAAGCCCACUAUUCAGAGAAAGUCGAUUUAGAACUCCAAAAUCAAGACUCAAUGCAGACUGAGUCCCCAACAGGACAGAUUAAAACUUCGCUCCAUUAUGAACCCUAGUGAUACUUAUUUGCAAGUAUACAAAAUAGCACAAUUA